CCUACGGGAGGCAGCAGUGAGGAAUAUUGGUCCAUGGACGAGAGUCUGAACCAGCAAAGUAGCGUGAAGGAUGAAUGCCCUAUGGGUUGUAAACUUCUUUUAUCUGGGAAUAAAAUGUUUCACGUGUGGUAUUUUGUAUGUACCUUAUCAAUCUGGAUCGGCGAACUCUGUUCCAGCAGCCGCGGUAAUACGGAGGAUCCGAGCGGUAUUCGGAUUUAUUGGGUUUAACGGUGGGUUAGUGGGAUUGUUAAGUCAGUUGUGAAAGUUUGCGGCUCAACCGUAAAAUUGCAGUUGAAACUGGCAGUAUUGAGUACAGUAGAGGUGGGCGGAAGUCGUGGUGUAGCGGUGAAAUGCUUAGAUAUCACGAAGAACUCCGAUUGCGAAGGCAGCUCACUGGACUGCAACUGACACUGAGGCUCGAAAGUGUGGGUAUCAAACAGGAUUAGAUACCCCAGUAGUC
rnacentral:rRNA from 1 species